rnacentral:ncRNA from 1 species
CGCUAGGGGAGCUUGAUGCUGAGACUGAAUACUGUUCCGCUGAACAGCCUGUUCUGACCCUCAUUACUUGAACCGGGUAAUACCGGCGUAAGGAAGCAGAA